GUUGAUAAGGUUAAGUGAAUAAGGGCGCACGGUGGAUGCCUUGGCACUAGGAGCCGAUGAAGGACGGGACUAACACCGAUAUGCUUUGGGGAGCUGUAAGUAAGCUAUGAUCCAGAGAUUUCCGAAUGGGGGAACCCAAUAUCUUUUAUAGGAUAUUACUUUUCAGUGAAUACAUAGCUGAUUAGAGGUAGACGCAGAGAACUGAAACAUCUUAGUACCUGCAGGAAGAGAAAGAAAAUUCGAUUCCCUGAGUAGCGGCGAGCGAAACGGGAAGAGCCCAAACCAACAAGCUUGCUUGUUGGGGUUGUAGGACUCCAAUAUGGUAGUCUGUUAGUAUAGUUGAAGGAUUUGGAAAAUUCCGCUAAAGAGGGUGAAAGCCCCGUAGACGAAAUGCUGACAACACCUAGGAGGAUCCUGAGUACGGCGGAACACGAGAAAUUCCGUCGGAAUCCGCGGGGACCAUCCCGCAAGGCUAAAUACUCCCUAGUGACCGAUAGUGAACCAGUACCGUGAGGGAAAGGUGAAAAGCACCCCGGAAGGGGAGUGAAAUAGAUCCUGAAACCGUGUGCCUACAACAAGUCAAAGCUCGUUAAUGAGUGAUGGCGUGCCUUUUGUAGAAUGAACCGGCGAGUUACGAUUGCAUGCGAGGUUAAGUCGAAGAGACGGAGCCGCAGCGAAAGCGAGUCUGAAUAGGGCGAAUGAGUAUGUAGUCGUAGACCCGAAACCAUGUGAUCUACCCAUGUCCAGGUUGAAGGUGCGGUAAAACGCACUGGAGGACCGAACCCACGUACGUUGAAAAGUGCGGGGAUGAGGUGUGGGUAGCGGAGAAAUUCCAAACGAACUUGGAGAUAGCUGGUUCUCUCCGAAAUAGCUUUAGGGCUAGCCUCGGAAUUGAGAAUGAUGGAGGUAGAGCACUGUUUGGACUAGGGGCCCAUCUCGGGUUACCGAAUUCAGAUAAACUCCGAAUGCCAUUCAUUUAUAUCCGGGAGUCAGACUGCGAGUGAUAAGAUCCGUAGUCGAAAGGGAAACAGCCCAGACCACCAGCUAAGGUCCCAAAAUAUAUGUUAAGUGGAAAAGGAUGUGGGGUUGCACAGACAACUAGGAUGUUGGCUUAGAAGCAGCCACCAUUUAAAGAGUGCGUAAUAGCUCACUAGUCGAGUGACCCUGCGCCGAAAAUGUACCGGGGCUAAACAUAUUACCG
rnacentral:rRNA from 1 species